UACGGAGGGGGCUAGCGUUGUUCGGAAUUACUGGGCGUAAAGCGCACGUAGGCGGCUUUGUAAGUUAGAGGUGAAAGCCCGGGGCUCAACUCCGGAAUUGCCUUUAAGACUGCAUCGCUAGAAUUGUGGAGAGGUAAGUGGAAUUCCGAGUGUAGAGGUGAAAUUCGUAGAUAUUCGCAAGAACACCAGUGGCGAAGGCGGCUUACUGGUCCGGUUCUGA
rnacentral:rRNA from 1 species